GUGAGGAAUUUUGCGCAAUGGGGGCAACCCUGACGCAGCGACGCCGCGUGGAGGACGAAGUCUUUCGGGAUGUAAACUCCUGUCAGUGGGGACGAUAAUGACGGUACCCACAGAGGAAGCACCGGCUAACUCCGUGCCAGCAGCCGCGGUAAGACGGAGGGUGCAAGCGGUGUUCGGAAUUACUGGGCGUAAAGCGUAUGUAGGCGGCAGGUUAAGUUCAAUGUUAAAGCCCACGGCUCAACCGAGGAGAUGCAUUGAAUACUGGCUAGCUAGAGGGUGUUAGAGGAAGACGGAAUUCCCAGUGUAGCGGUGAAAUACGUAGAUAUUGGGAGGAACAUCGGUAGCGAAAGCGGUCUUCUGGGACAUACCUGACGCUGAGGUACGAAAGCGUGGGGAGCAAACGGGAUUAGAAACCCCGGUAGUCC
rnacentral:rRNA from 1 species